AGCUUUGCACAGUGUGGCGUUAUCAUAGCCCAUGAGGUUUGUCUGAGGUACGAUUAUUGCUAAUUGAAAAAAAUAAUGUUAAAAUAGUGAAUUUUAUCUUAGAAUUAAAAAAAAAAAAUUAAAAGGUCUUUGGCCUCAGUUAGUCCUG